UUGAAUUUCGAAAUAGUAUAAUUCAGAAAAAAAUUUAAAAAAAUUAUUUUUUAUUUAUUUAGAUUUUUAUUUAUUUAAAUAUUUAUUUAUUAUAUAUAUAAAGAACAUGGGCAUAAGAGUCUUUUGCCAAUUAGUGAAGAAGGUAUUUUUGAAAAUUUCUCUUUAUUGGUGGUAUAAAUGAAAAGUGAUAGCAUGAAAGUGGUAAAUAUGUAAUUUCCUCUAAAAAAUACAAUUUCUUUUAAGUUUAUGAUGGGUCAGUCAUUUGACCAAGCGGGUCCGCCACAGUUUGGACAACUCAUGUACGCAUCAGUGGCAAUCUGCUUGCAUGCAAUAUAACUAUAGUUUCAUGUUUCCCAUCUCUUGAAAAAUAUUUCUUCAACAUUUACAUGCAAUAAAACUAUAGUUUCGACUAUAAGGAAGAUCAUCACUCAUUCUGUUAUUCAUCGGAUAUGGCGUCAGCGAAUAAGCUGGUGUAUAAUCAAAUUAAUCUUCAUCCCACGGAACAUUGUGUUCAGGUUAAUUGACUGAGAGGUGCGGAGUAUAAUCCUUGGGCCAAAGAACCGAAGGAAGUCCCAAAAUCUUCUGUCUCAUUGGCUAGUUUAGUAAAUCUCUUUCUGUAAGGUAAUUCUACAUUAUUUGCUUGUUUUUACCUUUUUUGCCUUGGAAGUAUGUUCUUAGGACUACUAUUCUUGUAAGCUCUUUUUCCAUUUAUAUGAUAUUAACAUACAUAGCAAAAAAAAUAUUUGAAUUAAUAAAAGAUAGAUGGUAAGUCGGCAAGAACAAAACAGACAUCUACACAGUGAAAUAAAGAAAAAAAUGCUCUUGAAAAGCUCAAUAAAAGGUUAUUGAAAUCUAAAAGCCAUUCCUUAUUUCAGUGCAGAUCUUUCUCUGAGGGAAGUAUCGAAUAUAGACCUUGCCUAGAUAACUUUGAUCAACUGUAAAGGAAGAGAUAAAUUGUUUAUAUUUUUUCAUCAAAAUAGUUGAUAUAUUGUUAUAAAAAUCCCCUCUUAUCCUGCCUCGAAGAAGUCUCCUCCCUUCUAGUUCUUCUCUAAUACCUCUCCAAAACUCAUAUUGCUAAUAUCAGAGGUUUCACCUUAAUUAAUGCAGGUCCCAAUUACAUAGAAGUGGUUACAACGUUUCAUAGGAACCAUUGCUCUUGAAUGGUCAAUUACAACAGCCAGGGAGCCUACGGGUGAUGAAGCUAAUGACAGCGAUGAGGAGCUAAAGAAAUCAAUGUAGAUGGUGUUAUAUCCCUUGGCUAUUUUGUCUCUCUUUUGGAACAAGCAACCGUUGAGCCUUGCUUGCCCAAGAAAUUAAGAGAAGUCUUACUUUUGUUUAAUCGCUUGAUGUGAUGGUUUCCCUAUUGCGUGGUCACUGCAGCAGGAGACAGGGCAAGUGUAACCGAGUGGAAGGGAUAGAGGAAGAGGGCGUGGAAGGGACUUGGACGAUGUGCAAAAACACAAGACGGUUUCACUAUACACAGAACAUGUUAGAGUCGUCAAAACAUCAUAUAGAUGAAACAACGGUAAUAAAUUUUUAUUUAAUUACCACAUGCUCAAACACUUUCUGAAGCUGUGAGUAAGUUCAAGUUUAGAUCUUACAAAUUAUCCAAAAAGAUCAUAUAUCUUGAAAACCAGAGCUGAUCGGGAACCAAACUAAAACCAAAUCAAGAACCGAAUCACUACCAAAAUUUCUAUAAUAUAAUUUAUACACUUAUAAAUAUUAACUAUAUUUAUUUUAAAAAUAAUAAAAUAAUUGAAAAAUACUUUUUAUAAGCUGGAAUACUCAAAAAAUUGAAUAACCAUAAUACUUUUUGUCAGAAUUUUUAAAAAAUAUUCGAAUUAUCUAAACUUUUAUCCAAAAAUACAAAAAAUCUGAUAUUUAAUCAAAAAACUUAAAUUUCUAACUUUUUACUUGAAUUAACUAAAAAACCGGAACGAACAAGAACUUAAUAGGAUCCAAAUUAUUUUGGAUAUUAGUUGGCUCCUAACUUUGUUACCUAAAACGAACCGAGAACCGAAACCAAACUGAAUUUUCUAAAUAUCCAAACCGAUGCUAAACUUUUAAACCAAAGAACCAAAUCAGAACAGCAACAGAUUUUUUUAUUUCAUUUAUAGUACUUCUAAAUAUUAGAAAUUUAAAAGAUAAUGAGCCAAUUAAUAAAGAAUUGUUGAUAUCCUAUCAAGAAAUUUUCAGGACACUUUUACAAUAAAGAGAGUGUUGCAAACUAAACAUGUUUGUAAAUGAUGAAAAUUUGUUUCAGGAUAGCUCCCAGGAACCAAACAUGAUAUUAGAUACCUGUAUCAUCAGAAACAGCUAGUAUACUCUAAUAACACUACAAGAAAUAUAAGUAUUGAUAGCACAUCACGGUAGCACGAAUUCACAAACUGCUACUAAAAAUGGGUAGUUUGGAUGUUUAACUCUAUUAUAGCAUUAAAUCAACGCUACUUAGUAUUUUGCAGGAUUUUUACGAAGCGGGAAGACAAAAAUCCAAUUUUUAUACUUGUAAAAUUCAUUGGUGCCAAAUACUUAGUGAAAAUAUCACUUUUGCCACCAAAAUAUUUUGUUUUAGUAGAACUAUUUUUUUUUCUCUAGGUCUUUUCAUUUUUUUUUCUUCAGAAGAAAAAAAACCUCCAUUCUCUAUUUUAUCUUCUUCUCCAUUCGUGACAAAAAAGAAUAAACUUCUCUCCAUUGCUUCAAUCGAGCUUCUUCAUCAUCCAUCUUCAUCUAUUAUGGGUCAUCUGUUUCUCUAAGUUUCCCUUUAAUCGAUUUACUGAAAUCGAAUCAGUGAAACUAAAUCUAGGGAUUGAAGAGUAUUAACGGAGGAGGAGACGGAGCCACGGCGGAGAUGCUGACGGAGUUUCAGUGACGGUAACAUCGGCUGCCUUUCUGCAAGCCUGAGCAACCCGAGUUUGAAGAUGGUUUUGACGAUGAGAUUAAGGAAAUUGUUGUGAAGUUUAAUUUCGGGUAUGCAUGUUUAUUUCUUCUUUCUUCGAGAGUGCAUUCUCAUACACAAGACCUGUUGCUGUUUGGUGAGUUACUUGCAUCUGAGGAGCUUGUCUUGUGUCUGAAUCGCCUUUUGCUGUGACUGGACUGUAUUGAAACUGCAGUUUGAUAGCUUGUGAUGACUGAACCCAUCUUAAAGGCUGCUAGGUAUUGAUUCAGUUGGAAUGGUGUAGAGCCUGAUGAGUGACGAAGCUUCAAGGGUUGCGAGUGCCAGAGUACAGAGUGACGAAGCUUCAAGGGUUGCGAGUGCCAGAGUACAGAAAAUGGAAUCCUUGCUCCAGAGCAUCUUCACUGCCGGGUCUCGGUGUCGGGCUGAGAUUGUGAAGGCUGCGACCGUGCAUUCGGAUUCUUAUCGUCAUCCUCUCGGUUUGUCCUGACUUCAAAUGUACUUGAGAAGAAGAACACGUUGGGGAUUGUAUGAUCACUUUCUUCUUUGUGCUUGCUUCUAGUGUUGUUGUAUUGGCAGUGCGUUAGUCUCAAAGCAACUUUCCAUGAGAGGAAGACCACAAAGACUUGCAUUCACUUCAAAGAAUGAUUUAGGUUUCUUUGAUUUUAAUUUUGAUAUGUUAAAGCUUGUUGAGACAUUGGUUCGUAGAUGAAGUUCCUAGACUUAGCAAAUGAAAUAAUUUAUGUUUUGAAAAAUUAAUGAAAUAUAAUUUCUUAUAUAUAUAUCAAAUUGCAAUGUUUUGAUUUACAUUUUGCACUACAAUUUAUGUGACAAUUAACAUUUCAACAAUAAUAAAUUUGAAAAAAAAAAGAAUUUUUUAUUUCAAAUUCUAUACCCUAAACAUGCCCUAAAUCCUAAAUUGUGAAUAUUUCAUCAUAAAAUCCUAAGAUAGCACAACUAGUAAUAUGAUAAAAAGAAAAUCUAAUACUGAUAAUAAAUUAGAAAAAAAAAAAUCACCUCAUCUAAACCCUAAACAUGCCUUAAAUUUCAACAUCCAACACUUAUAGUAGAUUUCAAAAUGAACAUUUGUAAUUAUCAAACUUUAAAAAAUUAUAACUUUAUAACUUUAUAAUUUAUUUUUUUAAUCUUCAUUAUAAAAUUUAACUCCAAAACACUAAGUAUGUUUUAACCCCUAAACUCAAAACAUAACUAAAACUCUAAUUUGUGUUACAAAAAAAAAUAAUAAUUAAAACUCUAUUUUUUUCAGACCAUAACCUAUAAUAUUAAAAUUAAACUUAAAAUUUAGUGUUUUAUUGUUAAGUUAUAACUUACAAACAUAAACCUUAAAUCUUCAAUCAAACUCCAUACCCUAAACCCUAAGUCCUAAUAUAAACCAUAUUUCCACUUAAUAAAAACCUGAAAUCUAAAUUUUAAUUCUUUAAAAGAAAAAACUUUAUACAAGUGUGUUAUAGUAAAAAAAAGAAAUGUUAUAUAAACUAAAAAGUUAAAUAAAUAAAUAACAAAACACAAUUGACAAAAAAAAAAUAACAAAACACAAACAACAGAAAUGUUUUUUUGGUUAAUAAACACACAAAGAGACUGAAAAUAUGAACCACUAAUACAAAAGUGCGCGGAUCACCAUCUUAACCGUUGAUAUACUUUAAUCCAAUGGUCAGAUUUAACCCUUUUGUGUUUAUUCUCUUGUCCCUCUCUCUCCUCUGUCGUAACUUUUUCUCCUCUAUCUACCAGUUUUUUUUAUUCUUCCUCUGUCAACCUCUACCACCGAUUUUCCUGAUUUCUUCCAUCUUCAUCCUCUUAUCUCACUGAUUUCUCUUUUCCAUCUCUCUCCCCUGUCGAACUCAUGAAUUUUGUGGCUUUUGUUUAGGGGUUUCACUAAGCUUAACAAAGCAGACUUUACUAAGUUGAGGCAAGAGAAGCGUGUUGCUCCUACGUCCAUCUUCUCCGACUCCCUCUUUCCCUCUCCCACGGUUCCAUGUCUCUCCAUCUCACAAACUGGCUAUGUCAAUGGUAGAAGAAUUGAACGUGUGAAGAAGAACCAGAGGAGGUAUGCGACUGACGUAAGCGAAUAGAGGUUGUGGAGGCUGGAGUAAGAGAACAAAGGCUUGAGGCGGAUGCUCUAGAGGCUGGAGGCGCUGCAUGCGGAGGCUGGAGGCGGACGCUCUGGUAGCGACGGCUUAUGUUUAGGUUAAGCUUAAUUAUGUUUUGGUUAGUUAAUUAGUUUUAAACCCGGUUUGUAUGUAAACUGGUUUAAUUUAUAAACUGAAAACAUUUGUAAUCUUCUGGUUUAAUUUGUAAACCGAAAUCAGGUGUAAACCAAAUUUUUAAUAUCAACCGAAAUCAUUUGCAAA